AGAGCCACAUUGUGCAAUUUGAAAGGAAAUGUCCUUGGAAGACGGAUUCCUCCAUCCGCUGUUUCAGCCCUUGUUUGUUUUCUGGUGGAAAUUAAUUUCUCAAAGGCCCUCCGUGUUGGAAAGGGCACGCUGAUAGGUGCAGGGAAAUAAGGAACUGGAAACAAGAUGCGCCUUAGCAGGCUGCAGGAUGGAACCUUUGUGCGUGCAGGUGGUGAGAAGUGACCUUCGGGAGGAACCCACGCUGAUGUGUUGAGUUUUGCUGGGACUCUUCAGUGCUCUUUGGGCUCUGAUACCUUGGAAGGUCCUUCCCCUGCUCUCCCCCACUGGAUUCAAACCAGGCAGUGAAGCCAGCAGUGCAGCACAGGAGCGCUCUGAUUGCGAUCAUGCAGUCAUCGAAGGGGUCGUCCCCCAAAAGGAUGCUUUGAUUUUCGAUGUGACACCCAGGGCUGAGCAGCUCCGCUAGCCGAGUUUACGUGGGAUGUGAGUUUUCCCAUCGCUUUACUUCGGGACGUGCGGCGUGGAGCCCUGGGGCAAUGCCGGCACCUCCAGCUGCCCCUGCCCCCUGUGUUCUGCCCCUGCUGAGGGGGUCAGCCCCGAAGGUGAGGUGAUGGAGGGCUGUGGAUGGGCACGGCUCGGCGCUGGACAGAGGACCCACAGCUGCACUGAUGGCCAUCCCUGCCCCGGCCCCAACAGUGCCGCACGUGCAAUGCUGUGUGCUUUCCCGGGGGGCUGAAGGUGCUGAAUUAGGCGCUAACGUAUUUUCCUGUUGGAUCACUGUUUGACUCAAGAAAAUAAGAAAGGGCUAUUACUGCCUUCUGACCCGUUGCUUUGACAUUUGAGUUUCAGUUUGCUUAGCGUCAUAACGUUGAGAAAUUCAAACAGCUCUCCAGCUCGCAGAAUUAUGAACGCCUCCAUUUGGCACUGGAAGAAACCAGCCCUGCAUUCUGGAUUUCCUUACGUUUGCAUUUUCCCCAGCCCAGCAGGGUCGUUUUCCCUUUGAGAACAAUACAGGGCUUGGCUCCCCACGCUGUGCCGUGGCUGCAGCAGCUCAGUGCAGGGCAGGGCAGGUUGGUUCAUCCCCAGGAAGGCUCUGCCAGACACGGGGGCUGUACAGCUGUCCCAGCCAUAUGCCCUGCCCUGCCCUGGGCUGCAGAGGGGCCCUCGCUUUGCAUCGCUGCAUCUUUGCUGCUGCAGUCUGCACUGAGGAGCUGGAGUUGUUGAAGGGCUUUUCUACUGAUAAAUGGAUGGAAACCCGUAUUUUCAUCUCACGUCAUCAAACAUUCAUCAGAUACUCCUGAAUCAUUUGAAGAAAUAAUGUGUGAGGGGAAAAAAAAAUAUUACCUCCGGCAGUUGUGUUAUAACGGCUCUUGUGCUGACAGCCCUUUGGGAACGGUGGCAGCAGCAGGGUAAGUAUAUAUGACAUCUUUGUAGUGAUAAAGAAACAAAUAAAUGUUCCCAUUAACACUCCAUCAGGUCAACAGCUAUUCCAGACCGACGUGAUGCGGGAGGGACCGGCCUGAUUCACAUCGCCUCAGCCAUCGCUUCCCUCGCAGCAUCUCCCCGGCAGAGCAGAGGUCCUGCUGGAGCCAGGCUGAAUGUUUUGGAGAAGAGAUCCUCAGAAGGAACACGGGAGGUGCGUUGGGUCGCCUUCACUCUGCACAGAGAUAAAGCCAGAGGGAUCCCUCAUUCCGAACAAGGCAGAGCCUGAACUUGAACUGCGGGUUGUCCAAAGCUCAGGAGAGAGUUUAAAGAA
ensembl:lncRNA